rnacentral:rRNA from 1 species
UACAGAGGGUGCAAGCGUUUGUUCGGAAUUAUUGGGCGUAAAGCGCGUGUAGGCGGCUUGGCAAGUCAGAUGUGAAAGCCCUCGGCUUAACCGAGGAAGUGCGUCUGAAACUGCUGAGCUUGAGUGUGGCAGAGGGGGGUGGAAUUCCACGUGUAGCAGUGAAAUGCGUAGAGAUGUGGAGGAACACCGAUGGCGAAGGCAGCCCCCCUGGGCUAACACUGACGCUCAUGCACGAAAGCGUGGGGAGCAAACAGG